rnacentral:rRNA from 1 species
AACCCUUUGUUGUCCGACUCUGUUGCCUCCGGGGCGACCCUGCCUUCGGGCGGGGGCUCCGGGUGGACACUUCAAACUCUUGCGUAACUUUGCAGUCUGAGUAAACUUAAUUAAUAAAUUAAAACUUUUAACAACGGAUCUCUUGGUUCUGGCAUCGAUGAAGAACGCAGCGAAAUGCGAUAAGUAAUGUGAAUUGCAGAAUUCAGUGAAUCAUCGAAUCUUUGAACGCACAUUGCGCCCCCUGGUAUUCCGGGGGGCAUGCCUGUUCGAGCGUCAUUUCACCACUCAAGCCUCGCUUGGUAUUGGGCAUCGCGGUCCGCCGCGUGCCUCAAAUCGACCGGCUGGGUCUUCUGUCCCCUAAGCGUUGUGGAAACUAUUCGCUAAAGGGUGUUCGGGAGGCUACGCCGUAAAACAACCCCAUUUCUAAGGUUGACCUCGGAUCAGGUAGGGAUACCCGCUGAACUUAAGCAUAUC